rnacentral:misc_RNA from 1 species
UGCUUGCUCUACAGGCUGUAAAGCAAUUGCUAAGGUUGGAUGCUGAAAACCCUGAUUCUCAUCGUUGCCUGAUAAGAUUCUUCUAUAAAGUGGGCUCUAUGGCUGCUCCAGUGACAGAUGCUGAGAAACUCAUUUGGUGUGUCUUGGAAGCAGAGCGACCGUCAAUCAGUGAAUUGCAUGAGAAAUCCCUGAUUGAGGCAAACCAGUUUUUCCUUGAAAAACACAAAGAUUCUUUGAUGCAUAGAGCUGCUGUUGCAGAGAUGAUAUAUGUUUUAGAAUCUAACAAGAAAUCUGAGGCUAUUAAAUUAAUUGAAGAUUCAGCCAACAACCUUUUGCCAGUAAAUGGAGCACUCGGACCGGUCAAGGGAUGGAAGCUCAAAGACUGCAU